CAAUAUGAAGGUCAGGCUGAAGACCUUACCCGAUUAGCUGAGAGGUGGUGCAUGGCCGUCGUCAGUUCGUACUGUGAAGCAUCCUGUUAAGUCAGGCAACGAGCGAGACCCACGUCCACAGUUGCCAGCAUACCCUCCGGGGUGAUGGGUACACUGUGGAGACCGCCGCUGCUAAAGCGGAGGAAGGAGUGGGCAACGGUAGGUCAGUAUGCCCCGAAUCUCCCGGGCUACACGCGGGCUACAAUGGUUGGUACAAUGGGCAUCUACCCCGAAAGGGGAAGGAAAUCUCUUAAAGCCAAUCGUAGUUCGGAUUGAGGGCCGCAACUCGCCCUCAUGAAGCUGGAAUCCGUAGUAAUCGCGUUUCAACAGAACGCGGUGAAUACGUCCCUGCUCCUU
rnacentral:rRNA from 1 species